UGAAGCAAGCCCACCUCGGAAGGCCAGCUCAGGUCUCACGUCCACUUUGGGGCUCCAGGCAUGCGGGAACCCCAAUGCCAGUACGGCUUCCUCGGCUCCGUGCAGCAGGCGCUCUUGGCCCCCACGUCAUGGAGGAGGCCUUGGCCUCAGACUCUCCUGCAUGGGGUCUACCAGGAGCCACCGGCUUUGUGAUUGCUGGAGUCCGGCCAUGUGGACCUGGCCUACCAAGAAGACUCACAGGCUUGACAGGGCCCAGCCUCCCAGAGAGCAGGAGCGCGGUCAUGGCCCUGCUCACCUGGCUGGGGACAGCUCUUCCCCACCCCUGAGCCACUUCCAGGCCUGGGGCCACCUCUGAGCCACUUCCAGGCCUGGCGAGGGCCCUGAGCACCUACAGGACGUGGGACAGCCAGUGUCGCAGCCUGAAGAACCGUCCUCCCUUAACCUGGCUGCUCAGGCCUUGGAAGGGCGGCCCAAGGGUCUGCUCCUGGCCUGUGUCCAAGGCAGCCCUCCAGGUGUUUGCCAGGAUGGAUGCCAGGAUCCGGGUGCACCUGGCUCGCAUGGAUCCAUCCCCAACACCCUACCUGACACCAGGUGUCCCUGGCAGGGAGGGGCAGUGGGACCAGCAAGCCCUGGCCCUGGCCCCCAGUCCCUCCACACACAAGUUCUCAUCCUGGGGUGGGCCAGGCCAGACAUGGUCACACUUACCCCUGCUCCUGCAUGGGGGACAGGGAGGGUCUGUGGGGCUCCCUCAGCCCUGGGGCUCAUGGGAUUGGGCCCCACUGACCCAGCCUGGUCUGUUGCAGUGAGAAUGAGGCUCUGUGGCGGGAGGUGGCCAGCCUUCGGCAGAAGCAUGCCCAGCAACAGAAAGUCGUCAACAAGGUGGGGGCAGGGCCAGAGGGCCGGCGGGGGCCCCACAAGGGCCGGGGUAACUGUGUCCUCUCUCUCCACAGCUCAUUCAGUUCCUGAUCUCACUGGUGCAGUCAAACCGGAUCCUGGGGGUGAAGAGAAAGAUCCCCCUGAUGCUGAACGACAGUGGCUCAGCACAUUCCAUGCCGAAGUACGGCCGGCAGUUCUCCCUGGAGCACGUCCACGGCUCGGGCCCCUACUCGGCCCCCUCCCCAGCCUACAGCAGCUCCAGCCUCUACGGCCCUGAUGCUGUGGCCAGCUCUGGACCCAUCAUCUCCGACAUCACCGAGCUGGCUCCUGCCAGCCCCGUGGCCUCCCCCGGCGGGAGCAUAGACGAGAGGCCCCUAUCCAGCAGCCCCCUGGUGCGUGUCAAGGAGGAGCCCCCCAGCCCGCCUCAGAGCCCCCGGGUAGAGGAGGCGAGUCCCGGGCGCCCAUCUUCCGUGGACACCCUCUUGUCCCCGACCGCCCUCAUUGACUCCAUCCUGCGGGAGAGUGAACCUGCCCCCGCCUCCGCCACAGCCCUCACGGACGCCAGGGGCCACACAGACACCGAGGGCCGGCCUCCCUCCCCCCCGCCCACCUCCACCCCUGAAAAGUGCCUCAGCGUAGCCUGCCUGGACAAGAAUGAGCUCAGUGACCACUUGGAUGCUAUGGACUCCAACCUGGAUAACCUGCAGACCAUGCUGAGCAGCCACGGCUUCAGCGUGGACACCAGUGCCCUGCUGGACCUGUUCAGCCCCUCGGUGACCGUGCCCGACAUGAGCCUGCCUGACCUUGACAGCAGCCUGGCCAGUGUGCGUAGGCGGGCGGGGGGUGAGGGGGAACGAGACCAGCGGGAGUGCUCACAAUACCGUCUCCACCCCACAGAUCCAAGAGCUCCUGUCUCCCCAGGAGCCCCCCAGGCCUCCCGAGGCAGAGAACAGCAGCCCGGAUUCAGGUGAGCCAAGUCCCACCAGCCCCAUCUCUGCCCCCAACCCCCCACCGCCUUGACACCCCCACCCCCGCAGGGAAGCAGCUGGUGCACUACACAGCGCAGCCGCUGUUCCUGCUGGACCCCGGCUCCGUGGACACCGGGAGCAACGACCUGCCGGUGCUGUUUGAGCUGGGAGAGGGCUCCUACUUCUCCGAAGGGGACGGCUUCGCCGAGGACCCCACCAUCUCCCUGCUGACAAGCUCGGAGCCUCCCAAAGCCAAGGACCCCACUGUCUCCUAGAGGCCCUGGAGGAGCUGGGCCAGCCGCCCACCCCCAGCCCCAGUGCAGGGCUGGUCUUGGGGAGGCAGGGCAGCCUCGCGGUCUUGGGCACUGGUGGGUCGGCCGCCAUAGCCCCAGUAGGACAAACGGGCUCGGGUCUGGGCAGCACCUCUGGUCAGGAGGGUCACCUUGGCCUGCCAGUCUGCCUUCCCCCAACCCCGUGUCCUGUGGUUUGGUUGGGGCUUCACAGCCACACCUGGACUGACCCUGCAGGUUGUUCAUAGUCAGAAUUGUAUUUUGGAUUUUUACACAACUGUCCCGUUCCCCGCUCCACAGAGAUAUACAGAUAUAUACACACAGUGGAUGGACGGACAAGACAGGCAGAGAUCUAUAAACAGGCUCU
rnacentral:sRNA from 1 species